rnacentral:tRNA from 1 species
GCGAGGAUGGCGGAAUAGGCAGACGCACGGGACUUAAAAUCCCGAAUUGGCAACAAUGUGAGGGUUCAAGUCCCUCUCCUCGCACCA